rnacentral:rRNA from 2 species
GUGAUGACGAGGCACUACGGUGCUGAAGUGACAAAUGCCCUGCUUCCAGGAAAAGCCUCUAAGCAUCAGGUAACACGAAAUCGUACCCCAAACCGACACAGGUGGUCAGGUAGAGAAUACCAAGGCGCUUGAGAGAACUCGGGUGAAGGAACUAGGCAAAAUGGUGCCGUAACUUCGGGAGAAGGCACGCUGAUAGGUAGGUGAAGCGGUUUACCCGUGGAGCUGAAAUCAGUCGAAGAUACCAGCUGGCUGCAACUGUUUAUUAAAAACACAGCACUGUGCAAACACGAAAGUGGACGUAUACGGUGUGACGCCUGCCCGGUGCCGGAAGGUUAAUUGAUGGGGUUAUCCGUAAGGAGAAGCUCUUGAUCGAAGCCCCGGUAAACGGCGGCCGUAACUAUAACGGUCCUAAGGUAGCGAAAUUCCUUGUCGGGUAAGUUCCGACCUGCACGAAUGGCGUAAUGAUGGCCAGGCUGUCUCCACCCGAGACUCAGUGAAAUUGAACUCGCUGUGAAGAUGCAGUGUACCCGCGGCAAGACGGAAAGACCCCGUGAACCUUUACUAUAGCUUGACACUGAACACUGGUCCUUGAUGUGUAGGAUAGGUGGGAGGCUUUGAAGUGUGGACGCCAGUCUGCAUGGAGCCGUCCUUGAAAUACCACCCUUUAAUGGCUGGUGUUCUAACGUGGGCCCGUAAUCCGGGUUGCGGACAGUGUCUGGUGGGUAGUUUGACUGGGGCGGUCUCCUCCCAAAGAGUAACGGAGGAGCACGAAGGUUAGCUAAUCCUGGUCGGACAUCAGGAGGUUAGUGCAAAGGCAUAAGCUAGCUUGACUGCGAGAGUGACGGCUCGAGCAGGUGCGAAAGCAGGUCUUAGUGAUCCGGUGGUUCUGAAUGGAAGGGCCAUCGCUCAACGGAUAAAAGGUACUCCGGGGAUAACAGGCUGAUACCGCCCAAGAGUUCAUAUCGACGGCGGUGUUUGGCACCUCGAUGUCGGCUCAUCACAUCCUGGGGCUGAAGUAGGUCCCAAGGGUAUGGCUGUUCGCCAUUUAAAGUGGUACGCGAGCUGGGUUUAGAACGUCGUGAGACAGUUCGGUCCCUAUCUGCCGUGGGCGCUGGAGAAUUGAGGGGGGCUGCUCCUAGUACGAGAGGACCGGAGUGGACGCAUCACUGGUGUUCGGGUUGUCAUGCCAAUGGCACUGCCCGGUAGCUAAAUGCGGAAGAGAUAAGUGCUGAAAGCAUCUAAGCACGAAACUUGCCCCGAGAUGAGUUCUCCCUGAGAC